CGUGGCUACGGGCACAAUGGCCUUGAAACUUGGGUUGGUUUGAUCUGGGUUUUCAAGUACUGCAGGGAAGUGUUGGCUGCUGCUGCUCCGCUCCCUCAACGCUCAUUUUUUACACAUCGCAUCGUCGAUCCGAUCCCGGCUCCAAUCCGCCAAACAGGAGAUCCGGUUUUUCGGGUUUCUGACGUUUCUUUGCAGCCUGCGAAGGCCUCUGUAUUUAAGCUGAAAUAGCUAAAGUUGAGAAUGUUGGAUCUGUUGCCUUAGGGAAGAAAUUUUAAACCUACAAAAGCUUGGUUUUCAGGAAAUCGCCAAUCCUGCAGACACUUUGGGUUUCCUGCUUUCUCACCAGAGAUCUCCGCCAUCACUGCUCCACCAAACUCGCUGAUAGCGUCCACUCUCUCAAACCAGAUCUUUGAGAGGACACCCAUCAUUUGGCUGAUUGCAUAGGAUUGCUACAUCUGAACACUGUACAGGCCUCUUGAAUUUUGAAUUGUGAUUGAAAAUUGGAGUCCGCACAUGGAGUAUAGGAGGUGCGGCUUUUCGUAUUUUUGGCCUUUUUUAUCAGCUGUUGUAACAUUUUUGUAAUAGAGGAUUUUGGGUCUUUGAAAUGGUUACGUGUUGUUUUUAACUUUUUGGUUCUCCUGUGUUUUGUUCUUCAUUGCUUCGUGAUUCUCAUUUUUCAGUAUUGGGUAAUGGAAAUUUGUAAAAAUAGUCGUAGUUUUUUUUUAGAAAGUUGGCAUUUUUAGUUAUAUUUUAUGUUUAAUCCCAAUUGUAAGACUGGAAAAUAAUUGAAAUGAUGGUUUAUUAAAAACUCCUCUUAAUUUUUAUUUUCUUCUGGGAUUUAAAAGCAUCUUUUCCCGAUUGGUUACAAGGGUUAUGUUCUCUAUAAUUGGUUCACCAUGUUUGAUUAGUUUUAAGUUUUGUCCUGCUAAGUUUUGUCUUCUGUGUAAUGAGAUAUUUCUUUUGGUCUUUCAGAUUUCGGCAUGGGAAAGCUCACUUAUUUGUCUAAUUAGAUUGUGUGCUUCUGGGGAUGUUGGAGCUGGGAAAUCAAGUUUGGUGUUGCGCUUUGUAAAAGAACAAUUCGUUGAAUUUCAGAGUAGAACUAUAGAAAUAUUUGGUGAAAGCAAUGAAGAAAUAUAUGCAGACUUUGAUCAAAAGCCAGGACUGGACGGUUGAUUUUGGGAACGUGUUCGAUGUGAUUCUAGAAGGGGUAGUGAAUGCGAAUUUGAAGCUAGAUAAGAUGGUCAAGAAGGUGUUUGCCUUGACCACAUACAAACACUUCUUGACAGGCAGCAACUUCAGCUUCUGGGGGGAGAUUAAGAUGUCUCCCUUUGUUCUUCUAGUUUAUGCUACUACUUUCACUUCUCCAAAGCUCUCCUUUCUUUGAGUUCUGAUGAGACUAAGAGAAAGUAUAUAUAGGGGUAUAUGUGUUGCUAAUAAGUGUGUGUGUGUGUGUACAUGUAAUUGAUACUUUUGUAGAGAAGAGCAAAGUGAGUGACAAGAACUAAAAAAGUGGGAUUGGAAAAUAGUAGGCUUAUAACGUUCAAAUUCUAACAGUCACUUUGAGUGGAGGCAAUAGAAACGAAUAAAAUGUGGGGCCUGGACUUGUUGCCUCAAGUGAUCUGGCACUGGCACUUCCAAAUGUAAAGAAAAAGGGCACAAAGACAACUAGAUGAGCACCACAGCCUUAAACGGGUUGAUCUUGCUUUGGAAUUUUUGAUUGAUUCGAGGUUAUUUUUCAACUGAGAUUUGCUUUGGUGA